rnacentral:ncRNA from 1 species
CAAAGCUUUGGUCCUAAGCUUACUGCUAUUUAUAAUCAAAAUUACACAUGCAAACAUCCGUACACCAGUGAAAAUGCCCAUUAAUAAACCACGGAGCAGGUAUCAGGCACGGCCAGCCAGCCCAAAACACCUUGCUUUGCCACACCCACACGGGUAAUCAGCAGUGAUUAACAUUAAGCCAUGAGCAAACAUCGACAAACUCGACUUAGUUAUGAUUAAUAGGGCCGGUAAAUCUCGUGCCAGCCGCCGCGGUUAUACGAGAGGUCCAAAAUAGCAGACAUCGGCGUAAAUCGUGACUAGAACCAUUCCCAAAACAUAAGAAAUAAACUAAGGCCUAACCGUAAAACACAGGCCUAACGAACACAACAAAUUCUUAUACAAAGGAAGUUUGACCCACGAAAACUAAGAAACAAACUAGGAUUAGAUACCCUAUUAUGCUUAGUAGUAAAUAAGGCACCCACACUACCAAGAUGCCCGCCAGAAAAUUACGAGCGAAAAGCUUAAAACUCAAAGGACUUGGCGGUGCUCCACACCCGAUUUAGAGGAGCCUGUCCUGUAAUCGAUACCCCACGCUACACCUCACCACUCUUUGCCCCCAGCCUAUAUACCGCCGUCGCAAACUUACCCCAUGAGGGUAAAACAGUAAGUACAAUAGUUAUAUGACUAAAACGUCAGGUCAAGGUGUAGCUCAUAGAGUGGCAGAGAUGGGCUACAUUUUUUAUUACAAAACAAACGGCAAGAAGCCGUGAAAUCGGCUUCCAAAGGAGGAUUUAAUAGUAAGACAGACAAGAAAAUCUGUCUUAAACUCGCUCUGGAGCGCGCACACACCGCCCGUCACCCUCCUCUAAUAACGUUAAACAACAUUCAUAAUGCACACAAAACACACAAGAUGAGGUAAGUCGUAACAUGGUAAGUGUACUGGAAAGUGCACUUGGAAUAA